AUUGAACGCUGGCGGCAGGCCUAACACAUGCAAGUCGAACGGUAGCACAGAGAGCUUGCUCUCGGGUGACGAGUGGCGGACGGGUGAGUAAUGUCUGGGAAACUGCCUGAUGGAGGGGGAUAACUACUGGAAACGGUAGCUAAUACCGCAUAACGUCGCAAGACCAAAGAGGGGGACCUUCGGGCCUCUUGCCAUCGGAUGUGCCCAGAUGGGAUUAGCUAGUAGGUGGGGUAACGGCUCACCUAGGCGACGAUCCCUAGCUGGUCUGAGAGGAUGACCAGCCACACGGGAACUGAGACACGGUCCAGAGUCCUACGGGAGGCAGCAGUGGGGAAUAUUGCACAAUGGGCGAAAGCCUGAUGCAGCCAUGCCGCGUGUAUGAAGAAGGCCUUCGGGUUGUAAAGUACUUUCAGCGGGGAGGAAGGGGUUGAGUUUAAUACGCUCAAUCAUUGACGUUACCCGCAGAAGAAGCACCGGCUAACUCCGUGCCAGCAGCCGCCGUAAUAC
rnacentral:rRNA from 1 species